UUGCGUUUAGUCUACUGGUUAGGACAGUUGUUUUUGGUACAAUUAAAGAUGGUUCAAUUCCAUCAAUGCAGUGA
rnacentral:tRNA from 1 species